rnacentral:rRNA from 1 species
AGGAUCAUUACUGAACUGUCGACACGAGCUGUUGCUGGUCCUCAAACGGGGACAUGUGCACGCUCUGUUUACAUACCCACUCACACCUGUGCACCCUCUGUAGUUCCGUGGUGUGGGGGGCUCUGUCCUCCUGCCGUGGUUCUAUGUCUUUACAUACACACAGUGAUAAAGUCUUAUGGAAUGUAUGUCGCGUUUAACGCAAUACAAUACAACUUUCAGCAACGGAUCUCUUGGCUCUCGCAUCGAUGAAGAACGCAGCGAAAUGCGAUAAGUAAUGUGAAUUGCAGAAUUCAGUGAAUCAUCGAAUCUUUGAACGCACCUUGCGCCCUUUGGCUAUUCCGAAGGGCAUGCCUGUUUGAGUAUCAUGAACACCUCAACUCUCAUGGUUUGCCAUGAUGAGCUUGGACUUUGGGGGUCUUGCUGGCUUAUGGUCGGCUCCUCUCAAACAAAUCAGCUUGCCGGUGUUUGGUGGGGUCACGGGUGUGAUAACUAUCUACGCUUGUGUAUUUCCGUCAGGUAACCUUCAGCAAUGGAGGUUCGCUGGGGCUCAUAAAUGUCUCUCCUCAGCGAGGACAGCUCUUUUGAAUGUUUGAUCUCAAAUCAGGUAGGACUACCCGCUGAACUUAAGCAUAUCAAUAAGCGGAGGAAAAGAAACUAACAAGGAUUCCCCUAGUAACUGCGAGUGAAGCGGGAAGAGCUCAAAUUUAAAAUCUGGCGUCCUCUGGUCGUCCGAGUUGUAGUCUGGAGAAGCGUCUUCCGUGUUGGACCGUGUACAAGUCUCUUGGAACAGGGCGUCAUAG